rnacentral:rRNA from 1 species
AGCUUAGUGGCAAACGGGUGAGCAACGCAUGGGUAACCUACCCCUGAAACCGGGAUAACAUCUCGAAAGGGAUGCUAAUACCGGAUAAGACCACAGUAGCGCAUGUUACAGUGGGAAAAGAUGAGGAUCCGCAAGGACUUGUCAUUUGGGGAGGGGCCCGUGUCCUAUCAGCUAGUUGGUGAGGUAACGGCCCACCAAGGCUAUUGACGGGCAGCUGGUCUAAGAGGAUGGUCAGCCACACUGGCACUGAGACACUGGCCAGACUCCUACGGGAGGCUGCAGUCGAGAAUCUUUAGCAAUGGGCGAAAGCCUGACUAUGCGACGCCGCGUGAGCGAUGAAGGUCUUCGGAUCGUAAAGCUCUGUCACGCCGGAGGAAGUCUCAGGCACUAAUACUGCCGAAAGAUGACAGUACGGCGAGAGGAAGCCACGGCUAACUCCGUGCCAGCAGCCGCGGGUAAGACGGAGGUGGCCGAGCGUUACUCGGAAUCAUUGGGUGUAAGGGCAUGUAGGCGGUUAUAUAAGUCGAAUGUGAAAUCCUUUGGCUCAACCAAAGAACUGCAUUCGAUACUGUAUGACUUGAGCACGGCAAGGGAGAUCGGAAUUCCCGGUGUAAGGGUGAAAUCUGUAGAUAUCGGGAGGAACACCAGUGGCGAAAGCGGAUCUCUGGGCCGAGGCUGACGCUGAUAUGCGAAAGCUAGGGGAGCAAACAGGAUUAGAUACCCUGGUAGUCCUAGCCGUAAACGAUGGGCAUUAGGUGUCGGUCCGUAAGGAUCGGUGCCGCAGUUAACACAUUAAGUGCCCCACCUGGGGACUACGGCGGCAACGUUAAAACUCAAAGGAAUUGACGGGGGCCCGCACAAGCGGUGGAGCAUGUGGUUCAAUUCGACGCUACGCGAAGAACCUCACCAAGGCUUGACAUGCUAGUAGUAGUGAACCGAAAGGGGAACGACUCCGCAAGGAGAGCUAGCACAGGUGCUGCAUGGCUGUCGUCAGCUCGUGUCGUGAGAUGUUGGGUUAAGUCCCGCAACGAGCGCAAC